GAUGAACGCUUGCGGCGUGCUUAACACAUGCAAGUCGAACGGAAAGGCUCCUGCUUGCAGGGGUACUCGAGUGGCGAACGGGUGAGUAACACGUGGGUGAUCUGCCCUGCACUUCGGGAUAAGCCUGGGAAACUGGGUCUAAUACCGGAUAGGACGAUGGUUUGGAUGCCAUUGUGGAAAGUUUUUCGGUGUGGGAUGAGCUCGCGGCCUAUCAGCUUGUUGGUGGGGUAAUGGCCUACCAAGGCGUCGACGGGUAGCCGGCCUGAGAGGGUGUACGGCCACAUUGGGACUGAGAUACGGCCCAGACUCCUACGGGAGGCAGCAGUGGGGAAUAUUGCACAAUGGGCGCAAGCCUGAUGCAGCGACGCCGCGUGGGGGAUGACGGCCUUCGGGUUGUAAACUCCUUCCGCUAGGGACGAAGCGUUUUGUGACGGUACCUGGAGAAGAAGCACCGGCUAACUACGUGCCAGCAGCCGCGGUAAUGCGUAGGGUGCGAGCGUUGUCCGGAAUUACUGGGCGUAAAGAGCUCGUAGGUGGUUUGUCGCGUCGUUUGUGUAAGCCCGCAGCUUAACUGCGGGACUGCAGGCGAUACGGGCAUAACUUGAGUGCUGUAGGGGAGACUGGAAUUCCUGGUGUAGCGGUGGAAUGCGCAGAUAUCAGGAGGAACACCGAUGGCGAAGGCAGGUCUCUGGGCAGUAACUGACGCUGAGGAGCGAAAGCAUGGGUAGCGAACAGGAUUAGAUACCCUGGUAGUCCAUGCCGUAAACGGUGGGCGCUAGGUGUGAGUCCCUUCCACGGGGUUCGUGCCGUAGCUAACGCAUUAAGCGCCCCGCCUGGGGAGUACGGCCGCAAGGCUAAAACUCAAAGGAAUUGACGGGGGCCCGCACAAGCGGCGGAGCAUGUGGAUUAAUUCGAUGCAACGCGAAGAACCUUACCUGGGCUUGACAUACACCAGAUCGGGCCAGAGAUGGUCUUUCCCUUUGUGGUUGGUGUACAGGUGGUGCAUGGUUGUCGUCAGCUCGUGUCGUGAGAUGUUGGGUUAAGUCCCGCAACGAGCGCAACCCUUGUCUUAUGUUGCCAGCACGUUAUGGUGGGGACUCGUGAGAGACUGCCGGGGUUAACUCGGAGGAAGGUGGGGAUGACGUCAAAUCAUCAUGCCCCUUAUGUCCAGGGCUUCACACAUGCUACAAUGGUCGGUACAACGCGUCUGCGAGCCUGUGAGGGUGAGCUAAUCGCUGUAAAGCCGGUCGUAGUUCGGAUUGGGGUCUGCAACUCGACCCCAUGAAGUCGGAGUCGCUAGUAAUCGCAGAUCAGCAACGCUGCGGUGAAUACGUUCCCGGGCCU
rnacentral:rRNA from 1 species